UGCGGAGAGUUUGAUCCUGGCUCAGGAUGAACGCUGGCGGCGUGCUUAAUACAUGCAAGUCGAACGGAGACUUUGUAGCAAUACGGAGUCUUAGUGGCGAACGGGUGCGUAACGCGUUGGUGACCUGCCCCGAAGAGGGGGAUAACAGUUCGAAAGGACUGCUAAUACCCCAUGUGGUCAUGGAGGUUAGAGGCUUUAUGACUAAAGCAGCAAUGCGCUUCGGGAGGGGCCUGCGUCCCAUCAGCUAGUUGGUAGGGUAACGGCCUACCAAGGCUUCGACGGGUAGGGGACCUGAGAGGGUGGUCCCCCACAUUGGCACUGAAACACGGGCCAAACACCUACGGGUGGCAGCAGUAGGGAAUAUUGGGCAAUGGGCGAAAGCCUGACCCAGCAACGCCGCGUGUGCGAUGAAGGCCUUCGGGUCGUAAAGCACUUUUCUGGGAGAUGAGAAAGGACAGUAUCUCAGGAAUAAGUCUCGGCUAACUACGUGCCAGCAGCCGCGGUAAAACGUAGGAGGCAAGCGUUAUCCGGAUUUACUGGGCGUAAAGCGCGUGCAGGCGGUUUGGUAAGUUGGAUGUGAAAGCUCCUGGCUCAACUAGGAGAGGUCGUUCAAUACUACCAGACUAGAGAGCGGUAGAGGGAGGUGGAAUUCCCGGUGUAGUGGUGAAAUGCGUAGAUAUCGGGAGGAACACCAGUGGCGAAANNNNNNNNNNNCGGUAGUCCUAGCUGUAAACGAUGUGAACUUGGCGUCGGCGGGUUCAAAGCCGUCGGUGCCGAAGCCAACGCGAUAAGUUCACCGCCUGGGGACUACGGCCGCAAGGUUAAAACUCAAAGGAAUUGACGGGUUCCCGCACAAGCAGCGGAGCGUGUGGUUCAAUUCGAUGUUACACGAAGAACCUUACCCGGGUUUGACAUUCAGGUAGUAGUGAAGCGAAAGCAGAACGACCCUUCGGGGAGCCUGAACAGGUGUUGCAUGGCUGUCGUCAGCUCGUGUCGUGAGAUGUUCGGUUAAGUCCGCUAACGAGCGCAACCCUCGUCGUAUGUUACAUGUGUCAUACGAGACCGCCGGUAUCAAGCCGGAGGAAGGUGGGGAUGAUGUCAAGUCAGCAUGGCCUUUAUAUCCGGGGCUACACACACGCUACAAUGGCCGGUACAAUGGGUCGCUAAGCCGCGAGGUAGAGCCAAUCCCCAAAGCCGGCCUCAGUUCAGAUCGCAGGCUGAAACCCGCCUGCGUGAAGUUGGAGUUGCUAGUAAACGCGCGUCAGCUAUAGUGCGUUGAAUACGUUCCCGGGAAUUGUACACACCGCCCGUCACGUCAUGGGAGCUGGCAACACCUGAAGCCGGUAGCCUAACCGCAAGGAAGGCGCUGUCGAAGGUGGGGUCGGUGACUGGGACGAAGUCGUAACAAGGUAGGCGUACUGGAAAGUGCGCCUGGAUCACCUCCUUUCU
rnacentral:rRNA from 1 species